rnacentral:rRNA from 1 species
AUAUCUAAAAAGCAGAAGGAAAUUACUUUCGAAUACCUCUUUUUGUUGUUCUCGCCAAAAUAGGG